ACGGAGUCACUCCACUUUAUUUGUAUAAUUAAAAAAUCACAAUUAAUACUAAUAAUGUGGAGAAAAAAGGAUACAACAACAACAACAACAACAACAAACCCAGUGUAUUCCCACUUAGUGGGGUCUGGGGGGUAAGAUGUACGCAGUCCAUACCUCUACCUCUGAUGAAGUAGAAAGGCUGUUUCCGAAAGACCCCCGGCUCAAGUCACGAGAUAUCACACAAACACAUAGUACAGCACAGAAGCAGAUGACAUAACAUAGAUACGGCACCCAUAAGGAAUAUAAAACAGAGUAAAGCAGGAAUGCAGGAAUAUAAAGCAGAGGAAAGCACACAUAUUCGUAAUAAACAUGGAACACGGAACACGGAACAUUGAAUACGGAAUCAUAACAGGAAUACCCCCCACCAAUUUAUUCCCUACACUAGCGACCCGAACUGGCCCUAAUCCUCUGCCGUAAUUCUCAU
rnacentral:lncRNA from 1 species